rnacentral:rRNA from 1 species
GUACACUCCUACGGGAGGCAGCAGUGGGGAAUAUUGGACAAUGGGCGCAAGCCUGAUCCAGCCAUGCCGCGUGAGUGAUGAAGGCCCUAGGGUUGUAAAGCUCUUUCACCGGAGAAGAUAAUGACGGUAUCCGGAGAAGAAGCCCCGGCUAACUUCGUGCCAGCAGCCGCGGUAAUACGAAGGGGGCUAGCGUUGUUCGGAAUUACUGGGCGUAAAGCGCACGUAGGCGGAUCGAUCAGUCAGGGGUGAAAUCCCAGGGCUCAACCCUGGAACUGCCUUUGAUACUGUCGAUCUGGAGUAUGGAAGAGGUGAGUGGAAUUCCGAGUGUAGAGGUGAAAUUCGUAGAUAUUCGGAGGAACACCAGUGGCGAAGGCGGCUCACUGGUCCAUUACUGACGCUGAGGUGCGAAAGCGUGGGGAGCAAACAGGAUUAGAAACCCGAGUAGUCCCAUG